ensembl:rRNA Gm24573 predicted gene, 24573
AUCUACAGCCAUACCACCCUGAACGCGCCCCAUCUCGUCUGAUCUUAGAAGCUAAGCAGGGUCAGACCGGGUUAGUACUUGGAUGGGAGGAAUAGUAAAACUCAUGUAAACU